UACGUAGGGGGUGAGCGUUGUCCGAAGUUACUGGGCGUAAAGAGCGCGUAGGCGGGUCUUUAAGUGAGGGGUGAAAGGUUCGGGCUCAACCCGGACACUGCCUUUCAUACUGGGGACCUUGAGUGCGGGAGGGGCGAGUGGAAUGGUCGGUGUAGCGGUGAAAUGCGUAGAUAUCGAUCGGAACACCCAUGGCGAAGGCAGCUCGCUGGCCUGCAACUGACGCUGAGGCGCGAAAGCGUGGGGAGCAAACAGG
rnacentral:rRNA from 1 species